CAAGCACCAGCACUUUGUGUCGGCUGUUAUCCCUUAAAAACAACUGGAGGCAUAAGCGGGGCAUAAGACGGGCCCCCGCCGCCGGUAUCAUACCCGCGCCCAUAGGUGUCGUUUAUUUUAGGGUGCAUAAAAUGUCUGUCGCCCGUGUUAAAUAUCCUGGGAAAUAUGGGGCAGUUUAACUGUGGGAAUUCGGGGGAGACUUGGAGAUUGAGGACCGGGAGAGGUCAGAGGUAUUUAGGGGGUAGGGGUAAAAUCCUGUAAUCCUGGAAGGACCACAGGUGGGAAAGGGUUUCACCUAGAACGGAUCCGACGGUGAGGGACGAAGCCAGGGGCGCAAACGGGAUUAGAUACCCCGGUAGUCCAGGGUGUAAACGAUGCGGGCUUGGUGUUGGGCGUCGUUAGUGGGCGCCCAGUGCCGUAGAGAAGUUGUUAAGCGAGCCGCUUGGGGAGUAUGUCCGCAAGGAUGAAACUUAAAGGAAUUGGCGGGGGAGCACCGCAACGGGAGGAGCGUGCGGUUCAAUUGGAUUCAACGCCGAAAAUCUCACCAGGACG
rnacentral:rRNA from 1 species